UGACUGUGUAUUCUCUCAAUGUUUGGAUAAAUGUCCUUGUCAAUAAUUAACUGUACCGGCAUUAUUUUUUGUACUGACAAAAGGAAAGGAUAAAUUAUUUGCGACAUUUCCUUCUCGUCUGGCUUCCAGGACACCUGUACGCCCAACGGACCCACUGCUCUGCACCGAGGCUAGAUGCUGUUUUGUUUUUUUUGUUUUUUUCCCCUGAUAAGACCACAUACACCGACGGAAGCAGUCUUUCCUGUGCUUGUCAUACGUCAUAUAAACCAGUUGCACAGGCUUGGUGGGCAACAAUCAGAUGUCUAACGGUGGCAUGAACCCAACUGUAUAGACAGGUUCCAAGAUCAUCUCCGAUGUGGUACGGACAGUUACGGGAUUGUUCGGGGAAAAUGAUUUACACCUCUUGUUGUGACGACUGGUACUUUCAACAGAAUCGUUGUCCAGCACCAUUUACAGCUUAAUAAGACUGACUGGCCAACAACAAAAGUCAAGAUGGACAAGAGGAAUCCUAUCACCUGAACAGAGCUUUACUGAUCUCGGAUUUUAUUUAUUUCAGGAUUAAUUUUUAAAAAAAGUUUAUAUAUUUUUUCAAUUGAAAAAAAAAAUUAUGUAUAAAGUUGUCUGAGUACAUGUUUAAUAUACAGUAAUCAACACAGGUUUGGGUACAUCAGUACAGUAUGCUGUGUAUUUUUACCCAUUCACAGACACUGCUGUCCUAAAUAUUCCCUCCAUAAAUGAAUCUAUGGAUUUC